GUCCACGCUGUAAACGAUGUCGACUAGCUGCUUGUGUCUUCGCGACGUGGGUAGCGCAGCUAACGCAUUAAGUCGACCGCCUGGGGAGUACGGCCGCAAGGUUAAAACUCAAAUGAAUUGACGGGGGCCCCGCACAAGCGGUGGAGCAUGUGGUUUAAUUCGAUGCAACGCGAAGAACCUUACCAGGUCUUGACAUCCAGUGAACUUUCCAGAGAUGGAUUGGUGCCUUCGGGAACACUGAGACAGGUGCUGCAUGGCUGUCGU
rnacentral:rRNA from 1 species